GCUGGGAACUGAGUUUAUUAUCAGUUUCUUCACUGAAAUGCGCCCGGCUUCUUGCAGAGAAGAAACUGAAAAUAAGCUAUAGUUCCCAGCAGCCCUUUCAACCACAGCCGCAGAGGGAGAGGGUGUCAGGGGGAGCCAGAUUCAGAGGGAUCACAGGGAGCAAGUUACCUCAGCUUCCCAAGUCUUUCAUCAGCCACAGUGCAACCGGAGGUGCAGUCCGAAAAGGGUGAGGGGCUACAAGGCAUUGCACUGUCAGUGACAUGCCAGCCAGCCCAGCCAGCAUAGGAGAGAGGAGCGGAGGAGAGUGGAGACCUCACUAUCCAGCAUCAGCCUGAGCCUGCCAAAAUGGAAGUCAUCAGCUGAAACAAACAAGCCACAAGGGAAAUGUUUUCAGUCAAGAAAAUACUUAUCAGUCUUGAGAAGACAUUCUGAAAGUGGUAUUUGCAGCUCUUGACGUAGAAAGGACUGACCGGAGGCCAAAAGGCUGAUGUGUUAAAAGCAGGCGAAUCAUGGAAAGUGGAAAGGUAUAUCUCCAAUGAUGGAACCGGUUAAUAGGGAUGCUGACCAAACAUCUUUGGAGAGGUGAAGAUCACCAAGCUGUAACAACAUUACCCGUUGAUGAGUUGGCAACCUAGCCAUAAGCAAUCAAGUAUUAUAUUGUCCUACAUGAAUGUUAUAUGAUAUUUUGAAAGUCACCUCUAUGCUAGGCUGGUAUUUUGUGUCAUGUAAUGAAUAUGUGGUCAUCAACACCAGGAACCUAGAUCUCUAUUAGAACAUAUAUGUAAAAAAUUUGUGCGCAAAGAUAGUUGUCCACCUCACAAUCUCUCUGUGGAGCAACAGGUCCCAGCCAGCAUCAGCUGGGAGAGUGCCACUUAGCAAUUACCAGUCUGUCAGUGCACAGAUCCUUUUCCUCUAUGGAACAACAAGUCCCAGCACGAGCUGACAGUAUUCACUGUUUACUGCUUAGCAAUUAGCAGCCUGUUGAGGCACAGAUCCUUCAGACCGGCAGCUCCUUCUCAACCCGCAUCCACCAGCGGUAAUGAAAUCUAAAAGUUAAUAAACAAAGAACACCUGAUAGUGCAUGAAGAAGAACGAAAUGACUGAGAUAGAAAUGGAGAGGGUUAAACAUCCAUAGGCUGGAGAUGACACUCAGGGAACAUGUGAUCAGACACCCAAUACGGAUACAGGUUGGCAGGAUCUAGCUGGUUGAUAUAUCUGGGGGAAAAGGAGGAGCUUCCUCUUUAUCUGGUGCUUCCCGCCCUCGCUCCCCUUUUUGAGGUAGUUGGGGGUGGAUCAUUGCGUUGGCUGGAAAGAACGGCAGGGUAAUUGUUUUUAGGUAUUAUCUAGAUGUUCUUAAUGAUUUCAGGUUUGGUUGGUGCGCUCUCCUUUGACUAUAUGCAUCUGCUGGAUCACCCGGUCGGGGACAGCGACACCACCAGGACGGGUGGGUAGUCAAGGUAUAAGGUUCAGUGGAUACCGUUUUGAUGUUUUAGGCUGAGUUUUUAAGUUGGUACAGAUGUACGGGUUGGGGGUACAAGUCAGCCGUUCUUUCAUGGCCAUCACUAUUUAAUCUUUAUU